UAUAUGAGACACCAUAUUGAGAUGUUCAAAAGCGUCUCUCAUGAUGAGGCGCUAUAUUGGGACAUUCAAAGCGUCUCUCGCGAUGAGACAUUGUGAAACGUUCAAAGCAUAUCUAGAUGUGUUGAGUCAUUCUGUGGUAUCACGUCUCUACUCAGAAAGUCGUUUCAUUCAUCAUGGGCCCUAACCUCAUUCUUAUACACGCUAUGUAGAGACAUUAUAUUCAUCUGUAAAUAUACACAAGCUUAUUUGUAACUACAACUACAUAAUAUUUAACUUUAAACAUAAUUUUAUUUAUUUUAUAUUUUUAUUUUAUCAUUUUAAAUCCAGUUACUUUAUCACGUCACAUGCUUGUGCAAAAUGAUAACAAAUAAAGUUAUAUAAAGGCAUCCACCCAUAUCACGAGUCACAUUCAUUGGUGACAAAUAAAGUUAUAUAAAGGGAUCCACUCAUAUCAUCAAUUAUAUUUACAAGCAUAUCAUUCGGACAAUUUCAAUUAGUAGGACUGAACACCUUGAUUUCAGAACUAAAUCAACUCAGACAUUCAUAUGAAAGAUGCAAAUAAUUAAGAAAAGACCGUAGAACCAGAACUAAGUUUUCCUAUGAAGCUAAAUCCUAUAUAAAAUACAUAAUAUCUGCCCAUUUUAAAACUAAUUUCCUGUAGUUGCUUUUUGGCUCCUGCAAUGCACUCCUUUUCUAUAUCUUGAUCUACCCUGGAAAAAAGACAACAUAGAAAAAAAUAGGACGAAGCUUUAAGAGUAGUGUGAGAAUAAAUGUACUCCGAUGAAAUUGUAAGAGAUGUAAGAGUGUUUGGUGGCUUGAUUUGAAGUUGUGUAGGAGUGGUUGGGAUUGGUUUUUUGACCUAAAAAUUACAAAGAUUUUUCGGAAAUAAUAAGCCUUAAGUGUGUACAUUGGAGCAUAAUCGAUGAUUGUAUGGAAGUGUACUUAUGUGUGAUAGAGGCCAUGCAAUAACACGACCAAUAAUGUCCCUUAUGGAUUGCAAUUUUUCAUAUGGUCUAACUAGUGUCGCAUCUCCAAAUCUUGAAGCAGGGGAAAGAGAAACUACUACAUAUUGCUCUCCAAGGAUGUUUCCACCAACCAAAUAUGUUUUAUUUGUACUCACUAAAGUAACUUCAGCCACACAUUUAUUUUUGCUUCACAGGUUCAACGACAACAACAAGACUUCCAUUUUAUCUAUGUUUCCAAGAAAUGAAACAUUCAUUAUCACAAACCAUGGAAUAUUUCAUUUUAUACAAAAAUGGAUGAUUGCACAUGGAAUUAUACAAACUCACUUUUCUAACCAUUGUCAUUCAGAUAUAUAGACCUCUUUAGUGACGUGAUUUAGGUGUACACUUGGUUCAGGACCAGCUUUCUUAACGUCAUUGCUAUUUUCAACAUGACCAUUCUUUGAUUCAGGACCAUCAUCUGCUUUCUAUAGUUGAGGUUCAAUUCAGUUUUAAGUAAACUUAUACAAAACAUAGAAGAUGUUUGAUAACAAAGAAGAUCAAAGCACAAAUUUAUGCACGCGCACACACACACCCCUUAGCAACCGUCUAUUCAUGUGGUGAAGAUAAACUGGUGCAACCUCUUUUUUCUCGUGCAAUUUCUAGGAUGCAAUUCUUGGUUCGUGAACUGUUUGUCCGGUAAAGUUUAUUCGGAUAGCCUUAAUUGACCCUAUCAGACUUCUCUAUGUGUGCUUUCUACAUUUGAGGUUCAGUUCAGUAGUACAUAAACAUACACAAAACUUGGGCUAUGUUUGAUAAUGAAGCAGGAAUUUAUGCACACGCGCACCUUAGCAACCAUGUGUGGUAAAGAUAAAACAGUGCAAUCCUCUUUGGUUCUCACAGAAAAGCUAGGAUGCAAUUCCUGGGUAGUGAUCUCCUUGUACGGUAAAGUUGUUUUUUUUACUUCCUUGGUUGGCCCUAUCGGACUGCUCAAUGUGUGCAUUCUACAAUUGUUUUUCAGAUCAGUUGUAAGUAAACUUAUACAAAACAUAGGCAUUUUUUAAUAACAUGGCAGAAAUUUAUGCACACACGCACACACCUUAGCAACCAUUAUUCAAGUGGUAACGAUAAACCUGUGUAACACUCUUAGGCCCUCACACAAUUGCUACGGUGUAGUUCCUGCAACUUAUGACAAAAAAAUUGUUUUGAAGUAUAAGAAUAAACUAGAUUAUUUAUUGGCUAAGUAACUAUUACAUCACCUACAUAUAACUUAAUAGAGCAGGCAUAUUGUUAGGUGAUUCUUCAAUUAUGUCAUGUGAUUUAUUUGGGAGGUCAUUGCCAACAACUCUUUCGCUGAUAUCAACCUGAAACAAGAACAUGAUAAUAGUAUAUUAAUACUCAUACUUUUAUCUUUGUAGAAAGAAAUGUGGUUUAGGUACCAACUUCAUCACUUCCUGCCGUUACAAAUCCAUUCCUCCAAUCUUCUUUGUGGAAUUUUUGCUUCACGAAUGAACGCAUCAUAGCAAACUCAUCUGACAUGUUUUCUACAUUAUCACCUAUUACCUGUUGUGCAAAUGGAAUAUUUUCUUCUUUUUCAGAAUGCUAAACAAAAGUCAGUCUCAGAGAAACAUUUAUUCCGCUCCAAUACUUAUCACCAUAAAACCCUCGAAAUUCUUUCACCUCUUCAGCAUGCAUACUUUUAAAUACUUCUCUACAAUCAUUGAAUGGAAGGAUCCCAUUGUUAGCGUCAUUUAUUUGUUCCAGUUUCUCCUAUUGGAACAAAUACCAGCAUCUUAUUACACUAAGGUUAAAUUAAAGCAUUUACUUUAAUCACAAGUUGACUGUGAACAAACGCACUGGGAUUUGUAGCUAAAGUAUCAAAUAUUAUUAUACGAGUCAGACAGGUUGUAGGUAUGGCAAGAAUACGAUGUGGAUGCAGGUGGAAACAAAUGGCAGUACUGAAUCAAACCGGGUACAGAACAAUGAAUCAACACGUGUUGCCACAGAGAACAUUCAAUGCAAAACUUCAAAGGGAUGACUUCUUAAAUACGAGGGUUGUGUGUGUCAGUACAAUGCCCCCCUUCAGUUUGGACAUUGGUUCAAUUACAUAGUUAGUAACCUGGUCCACUACACAUUUUAGUGAUAUAGAAUUAGGUUGUGUAUACCGGUAUCUGUGACUGAUCUUUGGUGUGGGGCAAUGUAUAGUAACAACAAAUGUAGAGGUUAGUAUCCAAUGCGUAUCUCAUAUCCUGGAAAGUUAAAGUUACUAGCUGAUGUGGUUAUUUGGCCAGUCUAUGUUACACCAAUUGUACUGUUGAUUUCUUCCAUUAAAAUUUGAUUCGACCAAGCAGUUGUUGACAUAUUUUCAAGAAAAUCUGUCAGAAAAUAAUUCUAGGCAAGCAAACAAUUCACCAAACACUUCGAGUACAUUGCCUACAGGAAGGAAGUAAGGGGACGAAGGAGAAGAAGAUGAGAGGUAAACAUGCAUAAAUGAAGGAGGCCACUUUGGUCAAUUUAAUGAUAAAACUAUAGGGGCUACGAGAUUAAAGGGAUCACCUGCUUGACGUGGUGGAGGCUGAAGAUGCUGGAUGGAGGCGACAAAUCUUGCGAGGCGGUGUCGAGUGAAGCAUGAGAUUGGCAUGGAUGCAACUUCGUGAUGGUGAGAAUGACGCCGGUGGGAGCACGGCUUCGUGAAUCGUGAUGGAGAGGACGACGGAUGCCGACGAGGAUCCAACUAGCGACCUUCUUGAUGGAGGAAAAUGGAAGUCGGCGGCAGGCGGAUCUAGCGGUAGAGGAUAGCGCUUGAGGAUGCGGCGGUCACUGCGCGGGGUGCAUGGUAUGGGCAGCGCGCGGGGUGAUGAUGCCGGGUAGAUCGGAAUCCGGUGGUUGGAUAAAUGGGGAGAUGGGGAAGAUGACCAGGAGGAAAAAUAUC
rnacentral:lncRNA from 1 species